rnacentral:rRNA from 1 species
GGGGAAUAUUGGACAAUGGGCGAAAGCCUGAUCCAGCCAUGCCGCGUGUGUGAAGAAGGUCUUCGGAUUGUAAAGCACUUUAAGUUGGGAGGAAGGGCUGCAAGUUAAUACCUUGUAGUUUUGACGUUACCAACAGAAUAAGCACCGGCUAACUCCGUGCCAGCAGCCGCGGUAAUACGGAGGGUGCAAGCGUUAAUCGGAAUUACUGGGCGUAAAGCGCACGUAGGCUGCUUUGUAAGUCAGGGGUGAAAUCCCACGGCUCAACCGUGGAACUGCCUUUGAUACUGCUUAGCUUGAAUCCGGGAGAGGGUGGCGGAAUUCCAGGUGUAGGAGUGAAAUCCGUAGAUAUUUGGAGGAACAUCAGUGGCGAAGGCGGCCAACUGGACCGGUAUUGACGCUGGGGUGCGAAAGCGUGGGGAGCAAACA